rnacentral:rRNA from 1 species
GAUUAACGCUGGCGGCGUGCCUAACACAUGCAAGUCGAGCGGCAGCGAGUUUUACACUGAAUUCUGGAAGCUUCUAGUUGAAAGAGGAGAUUUAUUCAAGAAUUUUGUGUAAAAUGUCGGCGAGCGGCGGACGGCUGAGUAACGCGUGGGAACGUACCCCAAAGUGAGGGAUAACGCAUCGAAAGGUGUGCUAAUACCGCAUAUGGUCUUCGGAUUAAAGCCUUCGGGCGCUUUGGGAACGGCCUGCGUAAGAUUAGGUAGUUGGUGGGGUAAUGGCCUACCAAGUCGACGAUCUUUAACUGGUUUGAGAGGAUGAUCAGUCAGACUGGAACUGAGACACGGUCCAGACUCCUACGGGAGGCAGCAGUGAGGAAUCUUCCACAAUGGGCGAAAGCCUGAUGGAGCAACGCCGCGUGCAGGAUGAAGGCCUUCGGGUUGUAAACUGCUUUUAUAAGUGAGGAUUAUGACAGUAACUUAUGAAUAAGGAUCGGCUAACUACGUG